AUUCCAGCUCCAAUAGCGUAUAUUAAAGUUGUUGCAGUUAAAAAGCUCGUAGUUGGAUUUCUGACAGGGGGCCGAACACCACUGUAGUGAGUGUUUUGGUACCUGUCAUCCUUCUGUUAACCCUAGCGUCAUUCAUUUGUCGUUGGGCGGACCAGAUACUUUACCUUGAGAAAAUUAGAGUGUUUCAGGCAGGCCUAGCCGGAAUACAUUAGCAUGGAAUAAUGGAAUAGGACUAUAGUCUCGUCGUUGGUUACGUGGACUGCAGUAAUGAUUAAUAGGGAUAGUUGGGGGCAUUAGUAUUUAUUAGCUAGAGGUGGAAUUCUCUAAUUUGAUAAAGACUAACUUAUGCGAAAGCAUUUGCCAAGGAUGUUUUCAUUG
rnacentral:rRNA from 1 species